rnacentral:lncRNA from 1 species
AGAGCCUCAGGAAUACACUUCUGGAGAAAGUCCACUGUCAUAGAAAUGAAAAACUGGCUCCUCCAGAUCACCUUUCAGGUUGAUGUGGCUCCAGACCGAAGCUCCUGGAGAGAGUGGCUCGCCUCAAAGGACCGGAAGAGAUUUUCUUGUUUAGGGAGGCAGAGGGACAGGGCGGGUUAUACCACCCACCCUUGUUUUGCAGGAGCUCCUGAUACACAUUACAUUCCCUUCCAAGAGGUGAAUUACAGUAUUAGAUUACUGAUAACCCUGAAGAGGAGGCAAAAGGCCAUGUGACAAAGUGGCUUCAAAUAUGACAUCGGUAAGACACAAUCACAACAACAAAUUGGAACCAUUUAAAAGAAAAGCCUAAGGAGGAUUUACUGUCCCCACCAAGGCUGCCUUAGGCUGUGUGCGCGGCGCCCCCUGGAGUUGGUCACCCACAGAAGCCCAGAUCAUCACCAGCGGGAGAAGAAAGCAGGUCUCAUCUAAACGCAGAGGGAAAGAUAGAGCUGAGAGAAGUUUCUGGUCCCUUGACAGAGCAGCUUGGGCCUGCCUGGGAACACUAUUAAGAAGAAAGCACAGCGCAGGUAUUCCAGAAGAGAAAAACUUGGAG